rnacentral:rRNA from 1 species
AACGCUAGCUACAGGCUUAACACAUGCAAGUCGAGGGGAAACGAUGGGAGGGCUUGCCCUCCCAGGCGUCGACCGGCGCACGGGUGAGUAACACGUAUCCAACCUGCCCUCUUCCGGGGAACAACCUUGCGAAAGUAAGACUAAUGCCCCAUGUGUCCUCAGACGGCAUCAGACGAGGACGAAAGAUUUAUCGGAAGUGGAUGGGGAUGCGCCUGAUUAGGCAGUUGGCGGGGCAACGGCCCACCAAGCCGACGAUCAGUAGGGGUUCUGAGAGGAAGGUCCCCCACAUUGGAACUGAGACACGGUCCAAACUCCUACGGGAGGCAGCAGUGAGGAAUAUUGGUCAAUGGGCGAGAGCCUGAACCAGCCAAGUAGCGUGCAGGAUGACGGCCCUAUGGGUUGUAAACUGCUUUUGCGCGGGGAUAAAGUGCGCCACGUGUGGCUCAUUGCAGGUACCGCGCGAAUAAGGACCGGCUAAUUCCGUGCCAGCAGCCGCGGUAAUACGGAAGGUCCGGGCGUUAUCCGGAUUCAUUGGGUUUAAAGGGAGCGCAGGCCGCCCCUUAAGCGUGUUGUGAAAUGCCGCGGCUCAACCGUGGCACUGCAGCGCGAACUGGGGGGCUUGAGUGCGCGCAGCGCAGGCGGAACUCGUGGUGUAGCGGUGAAAUGCUUAGAUAUCACGAAGAACUCCGAUUG